CCAAAAAUGGACCACCCUUUAAAGACACUCAAUUAUGGUUUCUCCUUUAUAGAUUGUACUUUAUCAUGGAACUUUUUGGAUAGACAGAUAAAAAUCUUUGUAGGUCAAGAAAUUGAGCACAUGAUACCAAACAUAUAUGUGACUAACAUAGUGCCAGCAGUCGCGGUCAUACUUUGACAUAUAUAAAGAUAUAUAGAUAAACAAAACACUUAUUUUUUAUUCAUAGUGAAAUAUAAAUACUAUUCUGCCUGCUGUUUUAUUUUAACUACUGAUUACCCACAGGGAUUAGAUACCCCUUUAUGCAGUAACUACCUUACUUAUCUGGGGAUUAAGAUUUUAAUCCAAACUCAACUAACAUGGCGGUGGUAUAUAGUUUUAGGGGAACUUACUUAGUAAAUGAUAACCACCAAGGUAAUAUCCGUUGUGUCAUAUUUUGUAUACCGUCGUCGAAGUACAUUAUUAUAAUGUGCUACCUUAUAAUUGUAUAAAAAGACAGAUCAAGGUUCAGACUACCACAACGUUUUUAGCGAGUUACUAUAAAAAAUAAUUUCUUUAUCCAUUUUUAACAAUGCUAUGUGCCGGACUUAAAAGUAAUAUACAUCACGCUUAAUUAUUGAAUAUUAUAUAUACUGUGC
rnacentral:rRNA from 1 species